UUUUUUUUUUAGCUAUUUAACAGUCAUUUCAAGUGGUGUUGUCCUAGUUGUUCCUUUUCUAGCUUCUUUAUCUUCACAAAGGAGGCAUCUUGAGCCGCUGUUUCUUUUUUUUUUUUUUUUUUUUUUUCAAGGUGGGGAAAAGAUGUGUCCUCCGUCAACCUUUCAUCCGCUUGGUGAUGUCGUCUCGCCGCCGCGCCGAAAGCCUAAAAAGUCAGUCAAGGUCCAGAUGUCGAGCAGGAAGUGACCAAGUGAAUCUCGUCUGUCGUCUUGACGAAAAGUGGCACGUCAAAGGAGUCUUUCACA